GAAAAGACAUGGAGGAGGCAUAAAUGCAUAUUACUAAGAGAAAGAAGCUAAUCUGAAAGGCUACAUGCUGUGUGAUUCCAACUAUGUAACAUGGCAUUAUACAUUUGUCCAAAUCCAUAGAAUGCACAGCACCAAGAGUUAACCCUAAUGUAAACUAUGGACUUUGAGUGAUGAUGGGUAUGUCAAUGUAGUUCAUCAGUUGUNNNNNNNNNNUUGUUUAAGUUCUUUGUAGAUUCUGGAAAAAAAAAAUAGCUGGGAGUGAUGGCGGGCACCUGUAUACCCAGCUACUCAGGAGGCCGAGGCAGGAGAAUGGUGUGAACCUGGGAGGAAGAGCUUGCAGUGAGCCGAGAUCUCCCCACUGCACUCCAGCCUGAGCAACUGAGCAAAACUCCAUCUCAAAGGAAAAA
rnacentral:lncRNA from 1 species